GGGGGGUUAGCUGAGUGGUUUAGCUGUAAUUUUACACAUUAUGUACAGAGUUUCGAUUACUCUACUCCCUA
rnacentral:tRNA from 1 species